rnacentral:rRNA from 1 species
GGUUAAGCGACUAAGCGUACACGGUGGAUGCCCUGGCAGUCAGAGGCGAUGAAGGACGUGCUAAUCUGCGAUAAGCGUCGGUAAGGUGAUAUGAACCGUUAUAACCGGCGAUUUCCGAAUGGGGAAACCCAGUGUGAUUCGUCACACUAUCAUUAACUGAAUCCAUAGGUUAAUGAGGCGAACCGGGGGAACUGAAACAUCUAAGUACCCCGAGGAAAAGAAAUCAACCGAGAUUCCCCCAGUAGCGGCGAGCGAACGGGGAGCAGCCCAGAGCCUGAAUCAGUGUGUGUGUUAGUGGAAGCGUCUGGAAAGGCGCGCGAUACAGGGUGACAGCCCCGUACACAAAAAUGCACAUGCUGUGAGCUCGAUGAGUAGGGCGGGACACGUGGUAUCCUGUCUGAAUAUGGGGGGACCAUCCUCCAAGGCUAAAUACUCCUGACUGACCGAUAGUGAACCAGUACCGUGAGGGAAAGGCGAAAAGAACCCCGGCGAGGGGAGUGAAAAGAACCUGAAACCGUGUACGUACAAGCAGUGGGAGCACGCUUAGGCGUGUGACUGCGUACCUUUUGUAUAAUGGGUCAGCGACUUAUAUUCUGUAGCAAGGUUAACCGAAUAGGGGAGCCGAAGGGAAACCGAGUCUUAACUGGGCGUUAAGUUGCAGGGUAUAGACCCGAAACCCGGUGAUCUAGCCAUGGGCAGGUUGAAGGUUGGGUAACACUAACUGGAGGACCGAACCGACUAAUGUUGAAAAAUUAGCGGAUGACUUGUGGCUGGGGGUGAAAGGCCAAUCAAACCGGGAGAUAGCUGGUUCUCCCCGAAAGCUAUUUAGGUAGCGCCUCGUGAAUUCAUCUCCGGGGGUAGAGCACUGUUUCGGCAAGGGGGUCAUCCCGACUUACCAACCCGAUGCAAACUGCGAAUACCGGAGAAUGUUAUCACGGGAGACACACGGCGGGUGCUAACGUCCGUCGUGAAGAGGGAAACAACCCAGACCGCCAGCUAAGGUCCCAAAGUCAUGGUUAAGUGGGAAACGAUGUGGGAAGGCCCAGACAGCCAGGAUGUUGGCUUAGAAGCAGCCAUCAUUUAAAGAAAGCGUAAUAGCUCACUGGUCGAGUCGGCCUGCGCGGAAGAUGUAACGGGGCUAAACCAUGCACCGAAGCUGCGGCAGCGACGCUUAUGCGUUGUUGGGUAGGGGAGCGUUCUGUAAGCCUGUGAAGGUGUGCUGUGAGGCAUGCUGGAGGUAUCAGAAGUGCGAAUGCUGACAUAAGUAACGAUAAAGCGGGUGAAAAGCCCGCUCGCCGGAAGACCAAGGGUUCCUGUCCAACGUUAAUCGGGGCAGGGUGAGUCGACCCCUAAGGCGAGGCCGAAAGGCGUAGUCGAUGGGAAACAGGUUAAUAUUCCUGUACUUGGUGUUACUGCGAAGGGGGGACGGAGAAGGCUAUGUUGGCCGGGCGACGGUUGUCCCGGUUUAAGCGUGUAGGCUGGUUUUCCAGGCAAAUCCGGAAAAUCAAGGCUGAGGCGUGAUGACGAGGCACUACGGUGCUGAAGCAACAAAUGCCCUGCUUCCAGGAAAAGCCUCUAAGCAUCAGGUAACAUCAAAUCGUACCCCAAACCGACACAGGUGGUCAGGUAGAGAAUACCAAGGCGCUUGAGAGAACUCGGGUGAAGGAACUAGGCAAAAUGGUGCCGUAACUUCGGGAGAAGGCACGCUGAUAUGUAGGUGAAGUCCCUCGCGGAUGGAGCUGAAAUCAGUCGAAGAUACCAGCUGGCUGCAACUGUUUAUUAAAAACACAGCACUGUGCAAACACGAAAGUGGACGUAUACGGUGUGACGCCUGCCCGGUGCCGGAAGGUUAAUUGAUGGGGUCAGCGCAAGCGAAGCUCUUGAUCGAAGCCCCGGUAAACGGCGGCCGUAACUAUAACGGUCCUAAGGUAGCGAAAUUCCUUGUCGGGUAAGUUCCGACCUGCACGAAUGGCGUAAUGAUGGCCAGGCUGUCUCCACCCGAGACUCAGUGAAAUUGAACUCGCUGUGAAGAUGCAGUGUACCCGCGGCAAGACGGAAAGACCCCGUGAACCUUUACUAUAGCUUGACACUGAACAUUGAGCCUUGAUGUGUAGGAUAGGUGGGAGGCUUUGAAGUGUGGACGCCAGUCUGCAUGGAGCCGACCUUGAAAUACCACCCUUUAAUGUUUGAUGUUCUAACGUUGACCCGUGAUCCGGGUUGCGGACAGUGUCUGGUGGGUAGUUUGACUGGGGCGGUCUCCUCCUAAAGAGUAACGGAGGAGCACGAAGGUUGGCUAAUCCUGGUCGGACAUCAGGAGGUUAGUGCAAUGGCAUAAGCCAGCUUGACUGCGAGCGUGACGGCGCGAGCAGGUGCGAAAGCAGGUCAUAGUGAUCCGGUGGUUCUGAAUGGAAGGGCCAUCGCUCAACGGAUAAAAGGUACUCCGGGGAUAACAGGCUGAUACCGCCCAAGAGUUCAUAUCGACGGCGGUGUUUGGCACCUCGAUGUCGGCUCAUCACAUCCUGGGGCUGAAGUAGGUCCCAAGGGUAUGGCUGUUCGCCAUUUAAAGUGGUACGCGAGCUGGGUUUAGAACGUCGUGAGACAGUUCGGUCCCUAUCUGCCGUGGGCGCUGGAGAACUGAGGGGGGCUGCUCCUAGUACGAGAGGACCGGAGUGGACGCAUCACUGGUGUUCGGGUUGUCAUGCCAAUGGCACUGCCCGGUAGCUAAAUGCGGAAGAGAUAAGUGCUGAAAGCAUCUAAGCACGAAACUUGCCCCGAGAUGAGUUCUCCCUGACUCCUUGAGAGUCCUGAAGGAACGUUGAAGACGACGACGUUGAUAGGCCGGGUGUGUAAGCGCAGCGAUGCGUUGAGCUAACCGGUACUAAUGAACCGUGAGGCUUAACCUU